rnacentral:lncRNA from 1 species
AAUGAACUUAUUACAUUUACAGUUGUACAAUGAUCGUCACAAUCCAAUUUUAUAGGAUUUCCAUCCCACACCCCCAGUGUAUCCUCCCCCCCCGAAAAUUGUCUCCUUUGGAAACCAUAAGUUUUUCAAAGUCUGUGAGUCAGUAUCUGUUCUGCAAAGAAGUUCAUUGUGUCCUUUUUUCAGAUUCCACAUUCAGUGAAAGCAUUUGAUGCUGGUGUCUCAUUGUCUGACUGACUUCACUUAGCAUAAUUUCUAGGUCCAUCCAUGCUGCUAAAAAUGCUGGUAUUUCGUUCCUUUUAAUGGAUGAGUAAUAUUCCAUUGUGUAUAUAUACCACGUCUUCUUGAUCCACUCCUCUGUUGAUGGACAUUUAGGUUGUUUCCAUGUCUUGGCUAUUGCAAAUAGUGCUGCAGUGAACAAUGAAUUACAUGUGUCUUUUCAAGUCUUGGUUUUCUCUGGAUAUAUGCCCAGUAGUGGGCUUGUUGGAUCAUAUGGUAAUUCUAUUUUUAGUUUUUUGAGUAAUGUCCAUACAGUUUUCCAUAAUGGUUGUCAAUCUCCAUACAGUUUUCCAUAGUGGUUUCGCCAAUUUCCCACCAACAGUGUAAGAGGGUUCCCUAUUCUCCACACCCUCUCCAGUAUUUAUUGUUUGUAGACCUUUUGAUGAUGGCCAUUCUGGCUCGUGUAAUGUGGUACCUCAUAGUAGUGAUUUGCAUGUCUCUAAUAAUAAGUGAUGCUGAGCAUCUUUUUAUGUAUUUUUUUGGCCAUCUGUAUGGCUUCCAUAGAGAAAUGUCUGUCUAAAUCUUCUUGGCAGAUAUUUUUAUUUGUGAAACGGGACAAUACUUGCAGUUGAUUUUCAGUGGUGGGGAUUGAUGUGGGCUGGUAUUGAGUAAUCAUACACGGUGCUGGGUUUGAUCAUCUGUGAGGAGAAAUUUGAGGACUUACGUGCUGCAAUAAGCAAGGUACUAUUAUCACUUGUAAUUUUUUAAAUUAAGGAAUUACGCAUAUGUACCCCUUACUGCAGAUGGCACAAGAAGCCUGUCAAAUGCAUUAACUUCAUGCUUUCUGGGAUGGUAAAAUUAUGAUCCACUUUAUGCAGUUCUGAAAAAAGUCAAGUUUGAGUUAGAUUUCAUAUGUGACACAAAACUUGGGAUGACCUUCAUUUUCAAUAUAGUCAAUAUAAUGCCAAUUUACAACUGAAAUGAAGAAUUAAAAUUCUACUGAGGGAGUUCCUGCCAUGGUGCAUGAAAAUGAAUCCGACUAGGGACCAUGAGGUUGCGGGUUCGAUCCCUGGUCUCGCUCAGUGGGUUGAGGAUCCGGUGUUGCUGUGAGUUCUGGUGUGGGUUGCCGACAUGGCUUGGACCUGGUGUUGCUGUGGCUGGCAGCAAUAGCUCCAACUGGACCCCUAGCCUGGGAACUUCUAUGUGCCGCAGGUGUGGCCCUAAAAGGACAAACGACCAAAAAAAAAAAAAAAAGAAGGAAAAAUUCUACUGAAGACGAAUCUUCUUACAAGGUGCAUUUCAUUUCCAAGCCAAUGCUGUCUUUGCUACAUCGCAGUUUAGAAUUUAAUUAUUUUGCUUUUUUGUUUUCAUUUAACAUUGUGCCAAAAGCAUAUCUGAUGUCACACUUUCUUAGGGGGAGGUAUGACAUUCUUUCAAGUACCCCAGCCGUGUUUUUGAACAUUUAAAAGAACAUCGUGUGAAAUGUCAGUGUUCAGGGUGAAGAUCAAGGGUGCUGGAAGAUUCAUAACUGUGGUAUCUGGACCCUGUUGGAAACACAGGCUCUUGCUUGCCCUCCUCAGUCCUGGUUGGGGUUUUGCAGAGUCAGCAGGAGGAGGCUAUGGCCACACCCGUCUUCAUUUUAAGGAAAUCGGAGAGCGGUUUAGUAGAUUUCAGUUGGGAGGGAAACAGUUCUUAAGAGAAAUAUGUAGACUAUUGUGAAAGAUUCGGAGGGUCAGAGCCAUCAUUAUCCAGUGCAAUGAUCUUACCUUCCUCUUGAGGAAUCAGCCCCACACAGUGCCUCCUGCUUCUUUGUUUGCCAAGUAAAUGCGUAGAACUGUCCUGGGGAAAGCUGGGAUCAUGGGCUAGGAAGUCUAUCAGAACUCAGGGUCUUCAGCAAAAACUCACAAUAAUAGGCAGGUAGGUUUCAACCCUACCUUUCUCCCCAGAGACGGUCAUCUCUCAGAAACUCUACCUAGGUAAUCAAACUUGAAUCCCUCGAUUGGCAGGAACCCACAUGCUGUCUGCUCCUGAGAAUAAAAUUCCACCAGUCACUGUGCCUAUGAAACGAUGACAGUCUGUUCUCCACGGAGGUUUUAAGAACCGUGCCACUCUCUCGGGGUGGCACAGUGACCCAGCAUUUGUUGGGGUGAGACUUCUACUUAGAGAGGCAGCAGACAUGAACACAAAGCUAAGAU